rnacentral:lncRNA from 1 species
AAAUUUCCCACUCACCUGCUAUAACCAAAUGGCAACCGCAAAGAAGUUCUAAUUUUAUGUAGAACCAGAACCACCCCUGUAAAGAUGCUGCUAAAAUUUUAACAAAAUUGGGUUAACAAACUGGAAACCAUCACACAGUCCAGUGGUGGCCCCAACUCUGGGAACUAUCCGUAGCAUUUUUGAUGUGUGCUACAUGAUGUCUUUAUCAGGUAGAGAGUUAUUUUGCUGAGACGGAAGAAAGAUCAGGAUAGGACUAAGGGUAAAAGAGAACAAGGGGGAUUCAAAAGAACAGCUUGUAUUGAUUGGACACAUUAAGGAAUGAAAGGAAUAGGAGAUGUUUGAAAAGGAAGGCUAUGCCUUGCUUACCUUAUAACUGAUAUGUCCUAGCAUGUGAGCCCUCUGGUGCAGUAUAUGAUGAAUAAAGAACAGCACUCAAAAUCUAGUAUCGUCUGUUUCCUUGGUAGAGAGGGACAAUAUAGUUGAACGUGGACUUGAUCA